rnacentral:rRNA from 1 species
CCCGCGUCUGAUUAGCUUGUUGGCGGGGUAGCGGCCCACCAAGGCGACGAUCAGUAGCCGGCCUGAGAGGGUGGACGGCCACAUUGGGACUGAGACACGGCCCAAACUCCUACGGGAGGCAGCAGUGGGGGAUAUUGGACAAUGGGGGAAACCCUGAUCCAGCGACGCCGCGUGAGUGAAGAAGUAUUUCGGUAUGUAAAGCUCUGUCAGCAGGGAAGAAAGAAAUGACGGUACCUGACCAAGAAGCCCCGGCUAACUACGUGCCAGCAGCCGCGGUAAUACGUAGGGGGCAAGCGUUAUCCGGAAUUACUGGGUGUAAAGGGAGCGUAGACGGUGAUGCAAGUCUGGAGUGAAAGGCGGGGGCCCAACCCCCGGACUGCUCUGGAAACUGUGUAACUUGAGUGCAGGAGAGGUAAGCGGAAUUCCUAGUGUAGCGGUGAAAUGCGUAGAUAUUAGGAGGAACACCAGUGGCGAAGGCGGCUUACUGGACUGUAACUGACGUUGAGGCUCGAAAGCGUGGGGAGCAAACAGGAUUAGAUACCCUGGUAGUCCACGCCGUAAACGAUGAUUACUAGGUGUCGGUGGGUAUGGACCCACCGGUGCCGCAGCAAACGC